rnacentral:rRNA from 1 species
GAUGAACGCUGGCGGCGUGCCUAAUACAUGCAAGUCGAGCGAACGGACGAGAAGCUUGCUUCUCUGAUGUUAGCGGCGGACGGGUGAGUAACACGUGGAUAACCUACCUAUAAGACUGGGAUAACUUCGGGAAACCGGAGCUAAUACCGGAUGAUAUUUUGAACCGCAUGGUUCAAAAGUGAAAGACGGUCUUGCUGUCACUUAUAGAUGGAUCCGCGCUGCAUUAGCUAGUUGGUAAGGUAACGGCUUACCAAGGCAACGAUGCAUAGCCGACCUGAGAGGGUGAUCGGCCACACUGGAACUGAGACACGGUCCAGACUCCUACGGGAGGCAGCAGUAGGGAAUCUUCCGCAAUGGGCGAAAGCCUGACGGAGCAGCGCCGCGUGAGUGAUGAAGGUCCUCGGAUCGUAAAACUCUGUUAUUAGGGAAGAACAUAUGUGUAAGUAACUGUGCACAUCUUGACGGUACCUAAUCAGAAAGCCACGGCUAACUACGUG